GGUUAUGUUGUUGGGUGUUUAUAUUGACACCCAAAACUCAUUUGUUGCCACAGUGGGAGGUGAGUCACUGCGGAGUCAGGGAGGAAAGAGCGAAUCCACGAAAUCAGGCGGUGAAAGGUUCCAAAUGAAAUCAGGCUGCAGCGACGCAGGGAUGUGUUUCUUUAAGCUCAUAGCUGCUUGGUCACAGCUAUCACUUCUCUGUGUGAACACAUGAUGGGUUUAUCUCAGUGGAUAUAACGUCUCAUGAAACAGAUGUCACACAGUAAGCUCGCUGUAAAUCUCAGAUUCUCCUGACAUCGGGGUCCGUUGUGAUUUUACAGUCUUCUGCAGAUGAUUCAUUUCACAUGUGUGCCGGCGGCAGAAAACCCAAAAAAGAGACAGACAGAGAGAGAGAGAGAGAGAGAAAGAGAGAGGGAGAGAGAGAGAGAGAGAGAGGACGUGUCUGAUGUUUGAGCUCGGGUACAGUUUGAUAUUGCUGAAGUUGAGAGUUUGCUGAGUUACAAAGUGAAAGUUAGGGCAGUCUGCUGCUCGUACACAAGGUGCCUUUCAGUGCAACUGCUGCAGGGACAAUAGAGGCCGAGGAAAAGAGCAAUUAUUAAAAAACAGCCAAAGCAGUCGUGUUAGUUUGAGUAAUGUCAUAUUAAUAAUGCAUUAACGCUCAUGGUCUCAGGCAGCGGCAUUAACAGCCGAUAUUCAUAAAAUCCAUCCCUCUGUUCAAACUGAUGAAGGAUCAGUUACAUAAGCACGCAGGACAAACUUCACUCUGAGAUGAAUUGGUCCCGGGAGAGCCGGGGAAUAAUAGCUCAGGUUAUAUUAAGUAGUUCAACCUUUAUUUGUGCAGGGAAGGCUUUGCUGAGCAUGCAUGCUCUUUUUCGACUGUAGCACAGCUUCACAUUUAAACAGAGAGACUCUCACCUGGGAGCUGCGGCUACGGCUCAGGUAACCUUGACCAAUAGGAGGUUUUGAAAGUUGUUACAGAUACAGCUCUGCUGGAGUAAAUACUCUGGUAAAGUGCUGAUUCUCACAGAAAUGUGCUGGACUUCUGAAUUCAAGCUGAUAAAUGGUGACACUUAAUUCAACUCCUUAAUUUCUGAAGCAUGCAGUGCAGAUGUCAAGCAUCAAACCUGUGUAGCAGAAGGGUAAAAACCUGCAGUAUCUGCAGUAGGUAACCCUGAUAGAGCCUGUAUUAAAAUGCCUGUUACAGCUAAUCUGACUCACAGGUAGAUGUGCUGGUGCAUUUUCUCCAUGCAGCCCAAACUCUCUUUCAAGGUGUCCACUUUAAUCAAAAGUUAUAGUUUUAGUCCGCAUGUCCAAAUAUUCAAUAACCAUAACUCAAAAGUAUUUCCUUUAGUGACAGUUCUUUGACUUUAAGUGGUUCAAAAUGACAGAAAUUAGACAGAAUCUGCAGAUUUCCAGCAGCAACAUUGGUUUGCAUCGGAUCAGACUGUUAAAAAGGAUAGCAGUAGACUUAACUCUUGAAUCUGCUGCCUCCCUCAGCUUAGGCCAUGUUCACUCUAAACAGCUGCAUAAAUGUUGUGGUGGACAGCCAAUCAAGAAGAGACUUUGACAAUUAAUAAUAAUAAAGUAAUGUUUAUAACCUUUCUGAGAUGUAAACAAAACCUGAAAACGUAGAACUUUGUGCAAAAGUAGCGAGACAGAGCUGCUGUACUGGAUUGCAUGAGAUUGCAAUGGUUGGAUUAACAUCUAGAUGUAUUUUAUCUGGAAAUAUAUGCAGGUCAAAUCAAGAGAAGAAGCUCUGAUGUUGAGGAAUGAGCUCAUGAAUCUGCUUUCACUGUGUGAAGAUGUGACAUGAAAGAAAUUGAUCUGUCUGGUCAAGAUCCGCUGACUUGUUUCUAUAAAAGAGGAUUCGAAAUCGAAAUUUCAACUUGAUUCAUGUCGACUUUAAUCUCUAAAUUAAUUUUUUUUAAUCUUGAAAUUUCAACAUUAUUCACAAUUCUACAUUUUGUAAUCUCGAAAUUCUGACUUUAAUCUCGAAAUUUCAACUUUAAUCUAAAAAUUUCGACUUAAAUCUCCUUCUUGUAAUUAUUUUAUUUCUCUUCAUGUGGCCCUACUCUUCUUUUGUUGAACCCUCAGCGUUUGACCCAAUCCAGGUUUGUACUCUAAAAUUAAAGGGGUUUCAAAAUGCAAAAAUAUUAACUCUGCGUCAUGUUGCAUAAAAUGUGGGAUUCAAAAGUUUCUUCUGUUUGCCUCAAAUAACCUGUUUUCUUUUCCCCUGGUUUAAGAGAGGAUACUUUACAUUCAAGGACAGCCGACCCACAGUUUGGAGAUAUUUCCUGACCAUCGGCUUGUUUCACCCUGAAAACUGCAUUAGUAUGGCGUCCAGAAACAUGUGCUUUUACUGUGUUCAGGUUUGGAUUCCCAUUACUCUCUCCUGCAGCUGAGAGUGUUUUACACAGUUAUAAUUCUUACACUACACUCCCCGUGUGCCGGGCAAACAAAGUCAAGGUCAGCGCCUCAAUCCCAAAAUUCAUCACUGUACUUAUUCAACAGUCACUUAAUCUAUUCUGCAUGAGCUGGUUGAUUGAACUCCAUUUGCCCGAGGUGUUUUGGGAAAUCACUGAGGUUAAACAAUCAGUAAGUUUAAUUCAGUCAAGUUUGGGUGCAACAAGACAGCGGAGGCUUUCAUUAUGCACAGAGCGACCUGAAUCCACAGAGGAACACCCACAUACAGUCAGAAUUAAACAAGAGCUCAUACAUAAACACCCACUGAGCGUCCAAAGACCACCGGCAGGAGCGGCAUCAUGCACCAUCAGGCAUCUGAUUCCUGAUAAGAAGUCAGGAAGACCCGAACCGAAGCUGAGAGAGCUCUCUGUGUGCAGAAAUCAAAGCCAGGUAAUCUGCCUCACAAAGCAACAGCUGAGAUGAAAAGAGUGUAUGCUGAUAUGUUUUGAUCUUUUAAAGUGAAGGAGAUUGCACCACCCACUGAGAGCGGGGAUUUAGGAUAUCAGUCCACUGCAAAGAGGAUAUCACAUCCCGCAGACUGCAUAAUGUUUUCUCUGAUUUCUCUGGUGCAGCUCAUACAGCGUUGUUUUGUCUGCACUGACUUCAUCAGGAGGGACAGUCUCUGCAGGGUCUGGUUCUUUGGUGACAGUUAGGUACACGUAUAUGAACCAUUUGUAGAGACCACAUCUGAGUCAUCUGAGGUCCUCCUGACAGAAAGUCUACCCUGUUUGAUUGCUUGAUCUACCAACUCAUUCCAGCAAUAAAAGUACAACUUAAGCAAAGAUCUGUCACACAUGGGAACGAUAUGAACAGGUGCCACAAAGUGCCACUACCUACAUAUCAUGCUUUGGCAACAACAGCCCUGUUGUUGGACAAUCAUGGAGGACCAAAAUCAGAGAAAUGUUGGCGAUAAAUAGCAGACACACCUCAGCGAAUCACUGAGUAACUGCUGUUAACGUCACUUGAUGUUGUCUAGCCUCGUCCUCCUUCCUUCAAAUGUCACCAUGAUGGUCAUUGUUAUAGCUUGGGUACCGCCAUGUAGACAGUCACAUCCGUUGUACCUUAAAUUUUUGACUCUGUAAUUGGCUAACCCCACCCCAUCUGGGAUGGAUACAAAAAGUCAUUGUGUCAAUUUCCACCGGCUUCUUUCUGUUCUGCUGAAAGAAGCCAGUAAGAGCAGAUUACCUGGCUUUGAUUUGGUUUUCUUUUCAAAAUAAAAGACUUUGUGUUUCAGGUGGAUUGUAUUUUACACCAUGCAAACAGGCGGAGACGAACAAGUGAAAGAUUUCACCCCAAUAACACCAUGGAUGAGGAGAUGCUGAUUCUAGAAGUGUAGAAGUAGAUUUCCUCCUCUGGAAGGACACAAUCUACUGCUUAUAUGGUUAGCCUCUGUGGCUAAGAGAUAACUCCUUAUUGCGUGACUGCACGUAAAUCUGUGGGUUCUCGCAAUUGCCACUGUCUGUAAACCGCUACGAAAUUCGUCUCACAAACGAACCCGGUAGGAAUUGGCCCAUAACGAAAAUUGCCACCGCCCAGAUGUUGUGGAGAUUCAGUAAAACUCACUGAAAGGGUUGCAGCUGUGCAAAGGUAAGACUGGACUAACAUAGUGACACCGUGACCUUUCACCAGUUUUGUAGGAAGAAAUGGUCAAGACAAUCUCAGCCUCUGUACGUCUGAAGGAUCCUGGACAACCUGAUCCAAGCGGAGACCAGAAACAAGCUAGAACUGACACUGCAUAUCUAAUUCGGUCUAAGUAUGGCGAUAGAUGAUGAGAAAAGGGAAAUCUGGACUCACUCACUGCUGUGUCCAAUAAGUGGCUUCUUCAUCAGGACCGUAAAGGGUCAGUGCCUUGCUCCUGGGCACUCUGAAGUGUUUAGUUUAAGUAGAAGAUAGUGAUAGCCGUGUAUUUCCCUGAACUCAAAUUACUCUUGCUCCUCUGGGGAUUUACACCCCUGACCCAGUGGUCUUAUCCCAUUUACUCAUCCUAAAACUUUCCUUUAUACCAACCAACCAAACCUCUCCGUCUUUAAGUUUGUCCUCAACAUUAGGCUGAAGUCAUUGUCUGUAUGCAUCUCUGGCAGGAAGCCCGGGAGCGAAGACACGUAUACAAACCCCUGUGGCAAUGUGAAUAAUGAGAGCGUGUACUUGGGAGGAGAGGAACAAAUAAGGGAGCAGCUUAGAUGGAAAACAGGAUAAAGUAAAGAUGACCUUCUGCUGGUUUAAGGGGUUCCUCAGUACAUCUGGUGUUUCCUCUCAUCAUGCAUCGAGGACAUCAUGUUUGUAGGUUUAUUCCUCAGCUCUUUAACCGGCAGAGAAACAACAAUGGCGAGUGUUUGUUUGUUUGUGUGUAGGUUUGUGUUAAUUUCCUUUUCUUGCCAUCUGUACUGGAGUAACCCUGCAGGCAUGUGCUCCUUUAUCCUAUUUCUCUUGUUUGGUAGUUAUUUUAGUGUUUUCAGAUAUAUUCUGAGGUUUUGCAUGAAUUGCAUGUCAGAUAUUGGUGACUCUGACUUUGAAGGUGGAGUAGGCAGGAAUCCGUUAAAGAAGCAUCUUUUUUAUGGUGUAUAUACAAAAAAAAAGCUUUAAAUAUCAGUCAAGAGCUAUUAGUUAUUGAUGACGUUUGGGAAAAUUUUACAAUUUUUAUGGGGCCAGAUCUUACUGACUGUAAACAAAGCCAUUCUUCACCUCCCCGACCUGAUUGGUUGUGAGGCAGACGCUGCUCCGGACAUAUCGGACAGUAGAAACCAACCAGAAAGUUCGGAAAAUUGUCUGAAUCCUCCUUUGGCCACGACUGCCGACACAAGCAAGAAAACAAAGUAAAUACCGGAGACUCUGGAGGAAUAACGGGCGCUUAAAACGGAGGUAGACCGGACAAGAGCUAAAAAGCCGGGUCAACAUAAACGAUGGGGGACGCUUGGGGAUCUUGGUGACCCUGUAACCCUUCUGCUGGACAGGUAAACCGCUUUAACAAAGUAAGACAAGUGUCUGUAACAGAAGUGUUUCUUGUCAAACGGACCUGCUGUAGCGUGUUGUAGCGCCAUCGCUAAACUGUCCUCCCUCGGGUCCUGGACUAUGUCACUUUAUCCUCGUUGUAGAAGUCCUGCAAACAUUGUGUUUGCUGGUAGUCUGUUGGCAUCUACAGUAGCACCAAUGCUUUUGACUUUCACCUUGACUGGGCCCCAUUUGUAAUGAUCUGAAGGAUUUAUCUGCAUUAUAUCUGAAUUUAAUUGGAACGAUACGAGCGAGCAGGAGCGUCUGUUUGUGGGCGGGGAUCAAGAUUUCUCCUAAAAACUAAAAACUUCCUCAGAUUCUGACUACCCUACCUCUAAGUUUGGUUUAUAUUUACGAGUCUGAAUCUUGUUUUAUUUUAAUUUUGUUCUUUAAUCCAGUUAAAAACACAAAAUGAAUCAAGGAGAAGUAGUCGGCAUUGUUCAUCUCUCUCAAAUGUUUCCUACAACAAAGAGAUCCAUCCAGCAUGGCUGCCAGCCGGCUUGACUGACAGGCCCACACGGCCUCAUUACCAUUGAACACACACAGAUAGGAACAGUUACAAAACAACAUGAAAAGGCUGCAUCAGGAGUAAUUAAUAUGACUGCACAAACACACAAAGACAAACUCUGUUAAACAGGCCUUUUAUGUUCACUCUUAAUUGGUCAGCAUAAUCGGUAAUGCGAGCCACCGUUGGCCACAUGCGAAGGCAGAGCCUCUCUUUGUUACCGUGCCAGCAUGGAUGCAGGGAUCGCUGUCCCCGUAAUCAGCAGGCCAUGCUUUGAGGUUUCACAUAAUAGAGGACCAACUCUCAAUGAGCUGCAAUCAGCGGUUAUGUGUGUUUAUUUUUGAGAAGGCAGGACAAAAUAUAAUACCGCUUCCCGCUGGGUGUCUCUGCCCACGGGCUGAUUGGGACGAUUCUCCCCCUUAAGGAGCCGAGCUCUGUAUCAGACAUCCUCUUUUCUUGGAUGGAAAGGUCGGACAGACGUAGACGCUUCCACAUUCAUCACGUCAGGCAGCAGAACUCAUCCAAGAACACCAGAUAUGCUGGGAAUAAUCCUGCAGUUUCUCCAGAGGACCGCAGCCGCCACAUGCUUUGUGCUGAGUAAACAGCAGCGGUUUGUUGGUGGCCACAGGCGCAAGGCGAUCCGCUCCCGGCCCGCCAUUUUGUUUGCCUGUUUGUUUUCUGGUUUCAGCGCGAGCGUAAGGGAACAUGCAAACAGCAGGGCUCAGCAGCUAAGCUUGCACUGAUAGGUCAUGGAUGAGGGGAUUGGGAAUGAAGGGUAUCCGGUUCCUCCAUUUAGCCCACCCGGAUAAACACUCCCGACAAGCCCGGGUUGGAGCACCAGUUCAAGUUAUGACAAGCCUUGUUGGCAUUUUUGUUUCUAAUUCUGUGUGUUUUGACUUAUCCUCUACAUCAUUUGAGCCGGCCAAUCUCAUCAUCUUCAUCAUCCCCAAACCUCAGUCCCCUUAAAACUAACAUGUGAUUGUUGUUAGAGGCACAGAGGAGCUCAGAGCGCCGCUGAUUCUGCCCAGAUGUCCUGUUUACAUGGGAGGACAGGGAGUUCUGCCUCCCUGCAGUGUACUUAAGGGAAAGCCACCCCAAAGAAACCAAUUUGUUAGUAUCCCGGUCACUAAAGAGAAGCCAAAUAAACAAGAUAAAGUUUGUUCAGAGUGAUUAAAGCGAGAUAAGAAGAAGGGGAGAACAGAAGCAUUAACAGUGAGAUAAUGAUUUAAACAAUAUGUGCGAAAAGCAGGAGGAGAUGAAAUUAUCCUUGACAGUCACUCAACAAGCUGAGCGAGAUGCUUCUGUCUCGUCUCACCUUCCCACAGCUGAGUCCAUUUUCAUACCGGUCUUCCUCAUCCUCACUUCUAACACCCGCACUCACCACAGUCCUGUUUUUGCACGUACUGUAUCCCCGGCUCGUGUUUCCCCGGCUCAUUUUUCUCACCUACUCUCUCCAUCGUUUCUUUCCACAUACAAAUUUGAUGAGGCAAGAAUACGAAGGUUUGAUUUCUUCCAACAGAAAUAUUCACAGUCUGAACUGGACUGAUGCAGCCGAGGUCUAAAUGCGCACAGUGAUCCGCCUGCUCCUCAGCUGGCAUUUGCCUCUUGAAUGGUGUUUUUAAAGCCCUGGAUGAAGGAAUUUUAGCUGCUAAAAGGAUGUCCUCUCUGUCUUUUAGGAAGCUUUUGAAUUUAGCUGCAAAAAAACAUCACUAACUCAGCAUUUAUGAUGGUCCUAACCUCAUUAUGUAUGCAGUUAUCUGAGUAGGAAUGGCUACUGUGAUAAGUAGCAGCACUGAUUGGCUGAAAAGAAAGGGUGCAGACAGAUGCAGAGGCAUGUUGCUGUAAAAAUAGAUGCUUUUCUUUUGGCUCUGAGGUGCUUGAAUAAAAUAAAGACAUUAGUGUAAUUUUUGCAAACAACUACAAAGUCUAAUAUAUCUGACUAAGCGCUCCUGUCUGUUCAGGGAUCAGGGAUUGGCUGCAGGGACUGAUCAGUCAAAUAGAAGAGAAUCAGUUUGAUUGGUCAGAAUUUCAGCCUCCUACUGUUUAAAAAAGACCUGAUUUCUGUACAGCUGACCGCGUCCCUGCUGGCAGCGGCAAUUGUUUUUCCGUCGCAUAUUUUUCUGGAGGGGGAAACAAGAAAAAGGGAUUUAAAAAAAAAUUUGCACACCUGACCCCAUCGGCGCACAGGCCUUCAAACAAACGGGUGGCAUCGGAAUGACUUAGCCCAAUUUUCACCACAUCCGGAGUGGCUACGAAAAGGCCGUAUCCACCGAUCGUAACCAUUCAAGUUCAUGUGUCAAUUUCCACCGGCUUCUUUCCGUUGUGCUGUGGAUCGCCGGACUCCGGAGCUGAUCGCAAGAGUUCUAUUAGCAUGCAGGAUAAAUUCAGCACAGAUUAACCCGUGCUGGAAAAGAAGUCAGGCACAGACACAAAAUGAAACAUCCCGUGUUUCAGGAGGAUCGUAUUUCACACCAUGCAAACGGGCGGAGACGAACAAGUGAAAGGUUUUAAGACAACAUUUCACCCCGAUGACACCAUGGAUGAGGAGAUGCUGAUUCUAGAAGUCUAGAAGUAGAUUUCCUCCUCUGGAGGGACACAAUCUACUGCUUAAAUGGUUAGCCUAUGUGGCUAAGAGACGACUUGUUAUCGUGAAUCCGCAGGUUCUAGUAAGUUCUCGCAAUUCCUGCUGUCCAUAAUCCGCAACGAAAUCUGCCUCACCAACGGAUCUGGUAGCGCCAAAAAUCGCUGCCGUUCCGGAUCAGAGCCGUUCUGGAUGCAGUCAAAAUUGGGGGUAAGCAGACUUCUUUUAGGGGGCUACAGUAAAUGUCAAAACUCAAAAACAGCAGUGAUUUUAGAUGCGAGUCCUGUCUUUUUAAAGAUCUUGUUUGUGUCAGUUUUCCUCUGACCCCACAGUAUCCUGAGGCCUUCUGCUUCCCUCCCCUGCAGCUCUGACUAAAAGGCUCUCUCCAGGACUGAGAGCCUGGACAGCUGGAGAUACAGUGUACUGAGCAUUAACUUCCUCAGAAUACUAAUGUCUAUCGAUCUGCUCAAGACCGAACAUUUCAAUGGCAGAGGCAGCAUGCUGCAAGCCUCCAAACUUAUUACAAUCAAUGCACAAUAACCAUAAAAGCUGGGGAGCUGAGGUUGGGGGCGGGAUUAACAAUCAUUUACAUUUAAAUCAAAGGUUACCACUCAGCAGUGCCAGCGCUCACACAGCCGUCCAACCGACCUCAUUUGGCUGUUUAAAGUCUGAGAGGAAACAUAUUGUGCUCAUCAGAGAGAGACAAAGGCAAGAAAACUUGUUUCUCACCACCUCUGAGAGGAGAGCGGGAGUUAAUUAAAAUGUGAGACACCUCACUGAAUAUCUUUAGCACUGUUUCCAAGCAGGCUUUCCAGCACCCAGGAGUAAAAAGGAAGAGAUGGGGAGAGAUUCUGAGCUGCUGAGACAGAGAGAGAUGAGUUGGAGGGCGGCAAACGCCGCACGCAGCAGAUCUGACAGGUUGGAGCUGCAAAUUGCUUUUAGCAGUCAAUUUCUCACCUUAAUUAAAAGAGGGGAGCGCGCUGGCUACAGGCGACGCGACUUCAGCGUCUGCCUUCCAUGAUAAAAGCGGGACAAUGGUGGCAUGUUUUCUGUCCGCAGCCUCCUGUUGACAAACCGCUGAGUGGUGUAGAGUCGGGUCAAACACUGACGCUUAACCUGCCGUGUGAAACCUCAGCGGGCGGAAUGACAAUCAAUUGAGCUUUCGCCAGCUUAAUCUGUGAAAGCAGACUUUUUUUUCUUUUUUGGGGGUUUGUUUACUGAAACCUGCUGUAGCAUUAUGUCUGCAGCCGCCAUUGGUGUCCCGGUUAAUUAAACUAACAAAUCAUCCAUCUGCCGAGUCCUUUUGUCCAUAUUGAUCAGCGCUGGGAAAUGUUUGAGAGUGAUUGCUUUCAAUGAAUACAGGAUGGCUUCCCUCUGCGAGAUAAUGUUUCAUCUCAUCGUUUUCUAAAGUAAUAGAUGAUAUGAAUUUAACAUGUCAUUUUGCAGCUUUUAUGCAGAGUAUGGUGUUGCGUGUUCUGUACAGACAUAAUGAGAAGGAAGUGCUGCAUAUUUCAGGCUGUCGGUGCCUUUGUGCUCCGUUAUAUUACAGCAUUAAAAAGUUAAAACAGCAGCGCUCUCUCAACUGAACAUAAGGAUGAGAGUGUGUCUUUGUGGCAGCAGUCCUAAUGAAGUCAGUCUGUUGAGGUUAGGCAUUAAAUUCUCUUUAAACUCACAGUUGCACAUUGCUGGCAUAUUAUUAAACAGCACAUAUAACAGGAGUUCAUGCUUCUUCGCUUCCCCUAACUUAGGGAUGGUGGCCUUUGAGGACAAAAAGCUCUUGUGAUGCAUUAUAAUACAGAUGCAUAUUGAAUGCAUUGUGUUUAAAAAAGGAAUAUUUGGUGAACUCUUGCACUUAGAUUGAAGUGCUCCCUUGCUCACCCCUGCAACCACUCGUCUUUAAAGACAAGAAGCUCUUGUAUUGCAAAUGUACGAUUCUCUAUGAUCAAGUUUGUACCAUCUGUUUAAUACUUAGCAUGCACACCUUUAUGCACUUUUAACUGAAACAUCUACCUGAAUUUAAAUGAUGCAACAUUCAUAUAAACUGUCAGCUCAAGGGAUUCUGGGAGGAAUUUAUUAUGCUUCCUUUUAUGCAUCCAAAAUCACCGUGAUUAAUUAUCUCAUCUCCUCAUAUUUUAUGCACACAGGAAAUAAAAAUCAGAUUAAUAAACCAUUCAAACAGUGUGAAAUUCUCAAAUCAGGGAAAAAUUCCCCAUUAUGCAUGGAUGAAUAAAUGAAGCUCCAGCAAAAGACUCAGCGUGUGAGCGAGCGGCAACACAACAAAGACUUCUGUCAUUUAAUGCUUGAGCAUGUUGGAUAGGAUAAAACAAGGAGCAGAAUUUGCUCUCUCAUAAUAACUGAUGAAAAUGAUGCAAAUGUAUUAUUGGAUUCACUCGGGGAAGCGAGCUUCAUUAAUUAAGGCUUCAACAGGGAAAUAAGUCUUCCCUAAAUAACUAAAUUCAUCAGAGGUGCAGCCAGCGAGUGAACAAAACUGUUCUGCCUCCUGAUGAAAGCAGUCGACAACGUCCCUGCACAGAAAAAAAACAGCGUUGGAAAUAUUACAGCUAGUACUGUAUCAGCCAAAGAUUAACUGAAGAAGCCAUGGUCAUGACUCUCUGAAAAGAGACGAUAUUUAAAAUAUCAAACCGCCUUUUCUAUCCUCGACCUUCGCUUUGAUUUGAACAGAUGCUGCAGGAUUACUUCAAACAGAAAAAUAAACAGUUUCUCUCAGAAAUCAGUCCAAAAAGGCUGCAAGAGGAGAACUCUGAAUGGUUCUUUAAAUAAGACUAUUCAAGGUACCUAAAAAGGUACUCAACAAAUGACAAAUCUAAGACUGACGCUAACAGGUGCCGAAGAAUUCAUGCCUAAAGGAGGCGCUAUAGGGUUUCCGGGAACAGUCCCUCAAAGUAAUGAUAAUACAUCAGAUUUCAUAUAGCGCUUUAUCAGAGACCCUCAAAGUGCUUCAUAUUGGAUCCAUCAUUCAUUCACUCAUACAUUCAUACCUUGGUGGUGGUAAACUACCUUAGAAGUCACAGCUGCCCCGGAACAGACGGAUGGAAACAUGGCUGCCAGUUUGCGCCUACGGCCUCUCCCACCACCACCACACAACACUCACUAUCAUACACCAGUGGAGGACACACACUGGGAGCAAGCUGGGUUAAGUGUCUUGCCCAAGGACAUAAUGGACAGACUCACGAUACGGGGGAUCGAACCACCAACCUUCCAGUUAUUGGACGACCGCUCUACCUCCUGAGCUACUGCUGCCCAAAGUAACACUGAAACAGACACUGAGGGGGAACCGAUAAACAGAAGAAACACUUAAACUAAACUGUGUUGAGAACCUAAAAUGAUGCUCUUGAAUACCUCAGACCAGCUGCUAAAAGACAGGAAUUUAGCAACAGAAUGUAACAAGUAUGCUAACUAAACAAUUUCUUUGCAAAUCAGGAGACAUUCUCAGUUGAAAACACAAUCGUUCAACGUAAACAUCGAGUUAACAAUACUGACUUCUUCCCGAAUGCACAACAAUCAACUUAAAUAUCAACGUAGUAUCUGAUUGCAGCAUUUUGCGGGAAUCUCCGCUAUCUCUAUAAGCUUUAGGACCCCAAAACUGCUGUAUCAAUGCCUGGACAAAACUGGGUUAAAUCCCAAGGACUCUAGGCUGCCCAAACAGGUGCCUGAACAAAAACUACUUAAAGUGUUUUCAACACAUGGACAGAAAAAACAUUUGUCGCUUCAGAUGCUCCAAGUUACCCUGAAAUAGAGGCUGCUGGGUACCUGAAAACAGACCCUCACAUUUACCUCAGAAACGAUACUAGAGUGUUUAGAAAGUCUUUAAGAAACAUCUUCGAAAUGCUGAAGCACUUUCACAAAGAAACCUUAAAAGGAGUUCCUUGCAAAGCACGUCUAAGUAUCAGGAGAACUUCUACAAGCAUCUAUGAUAAAAUACUGUUUUUGUUUUUGACUGAAGUUGCAGCUUCUUCUCAGUUUGUAAUAUAUGUCAAACUGACUCUUCCCUCUGAGCCACCCUUUAUGUCGAACUUCCUCUCCUUGUAAAAUCCUUGACCAUGCUGCCCGAGUAUAAUAUCCUCUGUGAGGAAACGUCAGGAUUACAGUUAUUGGUGGAAUCAAAACCACAAUCUCAUAAGUCCCUGUCUGAUCAGGAGGUAGUUUCACUGCGCCUGCAAUCAGUGCUUUUCGUCAAACCCAACCGGACCCUGACACUCUGCAUGACGGGAGGAGAAGAAGAAAAAUGUUUCCUGUCGUCAAUUGAGCAAUGACAUGGAUGAAUGUCAAAGAAAAACACUCAAUUAUCUUAAGCGGGUUUAUACAAGUGAUUGGCCUGUUGAUGGGGAGAGGAGGGGGUGCUGAGAGGGGACGCGGGGGAGCCGGACUUGUUUCAGCUGGAGGAGGUCUGUUUGACUUGAUGGGAUUCAUUUUGAUUGGUCAAGUUGACGUUUCCUCUUUGUGGUGACUGCUAAGAAGGGAGUAACAAAUUACUCCUUGUUGGCUGAGGCCAGUGUGGAAAUCUGAUGAGGGAAAAUUACACAUCACAUCUGCCCUCGUUUUGGAGUCAAACGUGCCUAAAACCGUAAUUCUGCAGCGAAAAGAUUACCUCAAACUUUCGGAGAGUCUGCGUGUGCGAUCCGACAAAGCAAACAAUGUGUGCCGUUUGGAAAGAGCGUUCUUCUGUAUUUACUGUAGCCAGCUGCCACUCAGUUGUCACUGUUCAGAAGAGGCCCGUUUUGGGAAGAGAUGAAACAUUCCUCCGGAGCUCCGGGCUAAUCAGGCUGUUUGUUCUUCCCCCAAUUUUCACAAUCCUGGAAAAUUAGAUGAUUAAACUCUUUAAAAACUCCGACCUUGGGCUAAUUAUUUAUGGGUGGGGAGAGAGGUGAGUUUGGGGUUCAUGGUUCAGGGACUGACAGGCUGACAUGCAUCCUACAUAAGGCUGGACUUGAAGGUUGCAGGUCAGCAGAGAGAGGAGAUUGGAGGCCGGUGGAGCUUCAGGGAGCUGGCUCUGCAGAAAGCCGACUGACAGUUCAGUUUUAUCGUGAGGUCUCUGUCUCGGCGGCCCGCCCUUGAUCAAGGAAAAAGAUGCCCACACAGACGCACUCAUCCAGGCCUCUCAAGAUCUGACGCUUGAUUUUGUUCACCUCUUCAAACAUGUGAAGACCUAAUAUAUUCCUCUGACAGCUACAAGCUCUACAUACUGUAAAUGUGUCUGUGCAUGCUCCCCCUCUCUCCCUAUUCUCCCCCUCUGACACACACACACACACACACAAACAGGCAACAUCUUGUCUUUGACCUCCUGGAGGCAAUUCAUGUUUCAAACACAGCUCGACAUCGGGCGUACACGACUGUUUGAAACAGGUUUCCAUGUAAGUGGAGCAUGUUUGGGAAUCACAGAGAUUUUACAACCAGGUAAUAACUACAGCAAUUUAAUUUGAAGUAUAUUUUGCACCUUCGGCGUGAAAACAUAUUAAGGUCGUUCACCGCAGUAGUGCUGUGAUGGAGGCAGCAAAAGAAAGGUAAAGAUGUAGGGUGUAGUUCUGUUAGAUCAGGUCUGGUAAAAAUGGGAUAUAAUAGUCACAGAUAUGUUUAAAUUAGUGUAAAAUCACCCAAAUAAGUCUAAGAUUUAGACUACGUUACACAAGCCUGGCGAUUUUCAUAAGCGGACAUUUUACCCUCUCCGUUUACAAAAAAAAAAAAUAAAACUGCGUGCGCACCACUACAUUUUCAGAGAAGUUUUCGCUUACACUAACCCGUGUAUGUAUCCCGUCAAGCGCAUGCCAAACCUGGCGGCCAGUGUAGCCAGUGGGUGGCAGUGUAGCAAGAAGCUCAAACCCACGUUAGCCAAUCAGAAUCCCGCAUAGCAGCAACAACAACAACUAGGGCCCUGGUGGGGCACUGGCGGGCCCGAGCCGUGUCGCGCCGCCCCCAGCGCGACCGCCUCCCCCACCCAAUCGCGUCACACUCAAGGUCCAGAGAUGGUGUGCGCACUUGUCUGUGGUCAUUUACCAUUAUAAUGAAUGGGAGGCGCAGUUUCUACCAAAACGCUCGCUGCAGAAAAACUCCAUGUCCUAUUUGAAAAAAGUCUGGACCAUGAGUGAGGGCACAAACACAGCUAAGAUAUAUCCAAAUGGCAAGUUGCUCCUCCUUUCGCUUUUGCCGAGAGAGCGAUGCGUUUGAGCCAUUGAACGAUGAACAGGAAAAACUUGACUUUAUUCUCCUGCCAU
rnacentral:lncRNA from 1 species